GUUUUAUGUAUACCGUUGACGAAUAUAAAUUAAAUCUUUUUAAUAUACAAGUAAUAGGUAAAAGUGCUAGAUAGAAAUUUCUGGAAGAAAAAUAAGGUGUAGAUAGACGCGUUGUUGGGCCCAUGAAAUAUAACCCGAUCCAAUUGGCAUUGCAUUGUUUAUACCCGACCCAAAUUUAUUAAGCCCUAAUUAGUAACUACAAUUAUCUAUUGUUUCAUUCUCUUAUAUUCGCUUUGUUCUGCGUUCAGUUUUGGGAUGAAGAAUUCAGAAAGUUGUUCAGGCAAUUUCGUUUUCAACACAGCAAUUGAUUUUACAGAGGUUUCUUGGAUUGUAAUAUAGAGGGAAAAGAAAAGCGAAGUGAUGAUAGAAAUUCAUUUGUCGGUCAAUCCGCUGAUAUUCUUUGAUGUUAAUUCAUGGAUCCCAACAGGUUCUGAUCGCUUUCAUAUUUCCCUUUCUUGCUUGAUUUCUUGAUUUCCCGAGUUUCUCGAUUUGUUGAAUCAAUUAUUUAGGGUUUUUGAAUUGUUAUCAGAAUUGGGCAAAUGAUGAAUCUAACAUUGUGUAAAUGGGUAAUUUGCAUCUGAUUAUGGUUGAUGUUAAUAUCACCUUGGAGAACUGUUGCCCUAAAUUCUAUGGAUUUUUAUGUUUCUUAGUUUGUUUCUGUGUUUUGAUCCCUAUAAUUAAUUGGUCAUUGCUACAUGAAUGGAUCACUAGAUUUGCGAUUGAAUUCUAUUAUUAUUGUCCCUUAAUUGGCACUAAUAACACUGUCAUAGUUGAAUUUUGAGGGGAGGUAAUUGAAAUGUUGGUUGUGAUUGCGAGAGAUCGAAGAAUCCUGACCCGAAUAACAUAAAUUUCAAUUUUUAAUUAAGUAGUUUUGGGAAAGCGUAUUUUCACAUAUUUAUUGCUGAAUUUCAUUUUAAUGGCAAAAUAGUGUGUUUAGUUAAUAAUGCUUUUUUAGCAUUGAUUACAAAGAUUGAAAUUCUGUGGCGUUAAAACAUUCCAAUGUCAAAAUAGUGUGUUGAGCUAAUAAUGCGUUUUUAGCAAUGAUUCCAAAGAUUGAGAAUUCGGUGACAUUAAACUAUUCUAAUGGCAAAAUAGUGUGUAGAGCUAAUAAUGCUUUUGUAGCAUUGAUUCCAAAGAUUGAGAAUUCGAUGACGCUAAACUAUUCUAAUGGCAAAAUAAUGUGUAGAGCUAAUAAUGCUUUUGUAGCAUUGAUUCCAAAGAUUGAGAAUUCGGUGACGCUAAACUAUUCUAAUGGCAAAAUAGUGUGUAGAGCUAAUAAUGCUUUUGUAGCAUUGAUUCUAAAGAUUGAGAUUUCGGUGACGCUAAAGUAUUCUAAUGCCAAAAUAGUGUGUAGAGCUAAUAAUGUUUUUUUUACCAUUAAUUCCAAAGAUUGAGAAUUCUAAUGGCAAAAUAGUGUGUAGUGCAUAAUAACUUUUUUUUUUCUUUGGCUCAUAUUCUGGUUUUCUGUUUGCAAAAUAGUGUGUAGUGGACAAGCUGUAAGUUAUAUUUUGUGUUGCUUUCGGGAGUAGUAUCUCAUGCAUGGGAUUUGUAUUCUAAUGGCAUAUAUUAUGCCUUGCAACUUUUUCUUGAAUUUAAUGUUACGGCCUUUUAAAAAAAUAAUUGAUAUUCAAUCAAUAUCCACCCAAAAAGCUAAAAUGGUUUUAUGUAAAACCAAAUUGUCAAAACAACAACUAGAAUGUCUGAACAUCUUGAUGAAUCUAGUUGGGCAAAUGAUGAAUCUGACAUGGUGUAAAUGGGUAAUUUGCAUCUGAAUAUCUUGAUGUUAAUAUAACCUUGGAAGAAAACUGAUGGCCUAAGUUCUAUGGAUUUUUUUGUUUGUUAGUUUGUUUCUGUGUUUUGUUCUCUGUUUUUUUGGAUCCAUCUAAUCUAAAAUGACCUUAGCAUUAAAAUUAUCAUAGUACUAGAAUGAAUUGGUUAUUGCUACAUGGAUGGAUCACUUGAUUUGUGAUUGAAUUAUAUUAUAUUGUCCCUUCAUUGGCACUAAUGACACUGUCAUAGCUGAAUUUAGAAAGGAGGUAAUAGAAAUGUUGGUUGUGAUUGCGAGAGAUUGAAGAAUCCUGACCCGAAUAACAGAAAUUUAAAGUUUAUUAAGUAGUUUUUGGAAAGCGUACUUUCACAUAUUCAUUGCUGAAUUUCAUUUUAAUGGCAAAAUAGUGUGUUGUGUUAAUAAUGCUUUUUUAGCAUUGAUUCCAAAAAUUGAGAAUUCUGUGGCGUUAAAAAAUUCCAAUGUCAAAAUUGUGUGUUGAGCUAAUAAUGCGUUUUUAGCAUAGAUUCCAAAGAUUGAGAAUUCGGUGACGCUAAACUAUUCUAAUGGCAAAAUAAUGUGUAGAGCUAAUAAUGCUUUUUAAGCAUUGAUUCCAAAGAUUGAGAAUUCGGCGACGCUAACCUAUUCUAUUGGCAAAAUAGUGUGUAGAGCUAAUAAUGCUUUUUUAGCAUUGAUUCUAAAGAUUGAGAAUUCGGCGACGCUAACCUAUUCUAUUGGCAAAAUAGUGUGUAGAGCUAAUAAUGCUUUUUUAGCAUUGAUUCUAAAGAUUGAGAAUUCGGUGACGCUAAACUAUUCUAAUGGCAAAAUAGUAUGUAGAGCUAAUAAUGCUUUUCUAGCAUUGAUUGCAAAGAUUGAGUAUUCGGUGACGCUAAAGUAUUCUAAUGGCAAAAGUGUAGAGCUAAUAAUGCUUUUUAAGCAUUGAUUCCAAAGAUUGAGAAUUCGGUGACGCUAACCUAUUAUAUUGGCAAAAUAGUGUGUAGAGCUAAUAAUGCUUUUUUAGCAUUGAUUCUAAAGAUUGAGAAUUCGGUGACGCUAAACUAUUCUAAUGGAAAAAUAGUAUGUAGAGCUAAUAAUGCUUUUCUAGCAUUGAUUCCAAAGAUUGAGAAUUCGGUGACGCUAAAGUAUUCUAAAGGAUUAAUAAUGUUUGUCAAUCCACUGAUAUUCUUUGAUGUAAUUCAUGAAUCCCGACAUGUUCUGAUAGCUUUCAUAUUUCUCUCUUGUGCUUGAUUUGUUUAUUUCUUGAGUUUCUCAAUUUUGUGAUGCAACUUUACCAAUUAUUUUUAGUUUUUGAAUUGUUAUCAAAAUUCUGCAGAACUGAUAGAUUUCAUGUUAAUUUGCAAAAGAUUCACAUGGUCCAAAUUAGAUAUGGCUAAAUGAGUUGUAUUGGCAGAUUUAUAUUUUCAAAGGGAUGGUUUGUCAAUUGCCUAGAAUGUUUUCCAUGGUGUUUGGAUAAAACUAGUCAAUGUCCAAUUCUAAUUCUCGAGAAAAGGAGGAAUUGUGCACCAAAACCUUUAUGUGUACUCAAAUGUUGGAGUGAGUUGAAGUUCAGGGAUGGCGGUAUUCAUAUUGAAAGAAAAACUCAAGUGAAUUGGAAAAAAGGUGAAAGUACAUCAUUUUCUGAAGAGGAGAUCAAAGACAAAAGAGUAGCAUCAACACAUUUACUUGAAAUGUUGAAUCUGAAUUGUGGCAUAUUGUGACAAAAAUCACGCUCAAAAUAGCUUAGAAAAGGGGAUGCAAAUUCCAAGUUCUUUCUCGGGUGCCGGGUAAAUAGAAGAAAAAAUUUAAUAAGAUUAAUUCGAUUAAAUAGAUUGGGGUUCAAGAGAUAAAGGGUGAAGUUUUCAAUUAUUUCCCAAGUUUAUUCAAAAAGCAAAAGAGGGAAAGACUGUUUAUGCAUAAUUUUGAAUUUAAACACAUUAGAGAUGAUAAGCUUAGAGAGGAGGAAAUAAGAAAUGUUGUUUGGAAUUGGGAGAGUUCGAACAGCCCCGACUCAGAUAGCAUAAAUUUUGGGUUCAUUAAGGAGUUUUAAGAUGUAACUAAAGCGGACUUUCAUAGUCUCAUUGUUGAAUCUCAUUCAAUUGGUAAAAUAGUGCAUGGAGCUAAAUAAUGGUUUUUAGCAUUAAUUACCAAGAUUAAGAAUUUGGUUAAGCUAGACGGUUUUACGUCGAUAUCUUUAAUUGGCAGAAUGUAGAAAGUCUUAGCAAAGCUAUUGACAAAUAAAUUUAAGGUCGGAAAUACUUGGAUGUUUCUGAUGGUUGUAUUCAUAUAAGAAAGAAGUUAUUGAAAUUGGUGAUUAAUAUAGUGUCAGGAAGAUUGUUCAAGUGGAAUAAUUAGUGCUUAUCUACAUGUGGCCGAAUCAUCCUUCUAAACUUUGUUAUACGCAUUACGGGUCUAUUUCAUUUCUUUCUUUAAAGCUCUGAUAGAUAUUAUUUCUAAUUUGGGUCUAUUUCAUUUCUUUCUUUAAAGCUCUGUUAGACAUUAUUUCUAAUUUGACUCUCUUUAAAAAUUUCUCGUGGGUUGGAAGAUUGGAAAACAUAAAAAUAAUUCAAGGGUGUUCAACCAAACUCUAUUAGGAAAGUGUGUGGGUUAAGGUUUUAAAAAGUAAAUAUGGUGAAAUAUUUGGUAAAGGGAGUAAAAUUGAGAGAAUGAGGUCAGCUUGGUGGCAGGACAUAAAAAUGGUAGAAAGUGGGUCGUGGGACUUUAAAUUAAAUUGGUUCUUUGAAAGGUUGGGCAUGAAAUUAGGAAGUGGAGUUGAAUCACAUUUUUGGACUCCUUGAAUAAAAGGAAAAAUCUUGAAAAAGAGGUUAGUGGUACUGUUUGAUUUAUAAUCAAGAACAAAAAUGCUUCAUUUAAGGCAUUGGUGAUUCAUUUGACUGAGAAUGUAGAAUUAUUCAUUUCAUUUGACUGAUUUUCUUGUAAAAUCAUGUGGCAAUAGUAUUUUAAAGGGACAUGAGAUUAUAGUUGUCUAAUGUUGCAGAGUUGGCAAGUGAUAAUACAUAGAGGGAAAAGAAAAGCGAUAUGAUGAUAGAAAUUCAUUGUCUGUCAAUCCACUGAUAUUCUUUGAUGUAAUUCAUGAAUCCCGACAGGUUCUGAUCGCAUUCAUAUUUCCCUCUUGUGCUUGAUUUGUUUAUUUCUUGAAGAAAAGCAGGGGCUAUAUUGAAUCUAUGGUCAUUGUAUUUCGUCAGUCCUCUUCCAAAUCCAGAUAGAGAUUCGAGAACAUUGCGACUAGUCCGAUGAAACUCGCAAGUGCAGUAUAGCUCGAGAAAUGAGAUACAUGUCGCGACUGGUUCAAACAAGAUGAUGCAACUCAGAAGCUCGAGACAGGAUGUGACUAUAAGUCGGAAGGACUCACAAUCUCCAAUACCCGGUAACAUUGACCGAUCCCACAAAUAAGCUUUUUAACAUAUACUAUGUAUUGAUGCAGUAAUGUUUUUGCUGGUUAAACAUUUGCGAGCUAAUAAUUACAAAACAUAUAAUAAAUAUUCAUGUGCUGUCUGACCUGAGUUAUUUGAUUCUUUUGUUGUUUGUAAUGGAUUUUGAUUUUGCCAUGUUUACCUGCACAUAUGAGUAAUGGUAGAGAAGAUGGAUAUCAAAUGAAUUUGGUUCACUUAUUGAGUAUGUUGAAACAGCUUUUGGGAGAAAUCUCCGUCAAAGUUUCACUUAUGGCGUAAAUUUACAUCGUAUAAUUUAGUCGGUUUGCGAAUUCUUAUCGAGUAGUGUUCUUGAGCAGAGGGGGUCUGAUUAUUAUAGGUGAAAUGGAUGGACAAUGUUCUGUGUUUGUAGAAUGUGCAGUUGCAUAGAGCUGCUGUGAAUGUUUUGCGUCACUCAAAGCUCCCAGAUCGGGAUGACAUCGACUCACAAUGAAAACCAUAGUGGCAAUGUGAUGCCGAUGUCGACGAUAAAGUUUGUUAGGGCAGAUCUGUGAGUGGAGGUGAGACAUGAAUCCCCAUGUUAAUAUUGCUGAUACCGCCAUUUGGAAGAUAAUUAUUUCUCACACAUUCUAUUCACAUAGUAUGAUUAACUAUUAUUUGUUUACAAUGCUUUGUUUGAUGAUCCAAUGUCAUAUAACUCAACUUACAAUGUCUAUGUGUUAUCUAUAUGUUGUGGUGUCGAUUUCUGUAUGUCUUGCAAUGCAUUUUGAUUUUAGAGUUACAUUUGGAAGAUUGUGAAAAUUGUUGGGACUAACAGGAUGGCUGGGAAAUCAAAUCAAAUAUCUCCUGUCUCUAUUCAUCUCAGUAUCUACCUGCCAAGUGUUGUCAAUUUGAUGCCGGUAGAUCUGCCUAUUUUUGCAAAGGUCGCAGUAGAGGGACAACCAGAAGUAAGCAUCCGUGAUGACAACGACUACAUAUCGAGUCUCAUAGGAGGAGAAAUAAAGAAUGCAAUGAUCGGAGAUAACAAGUCAAGCUCUAAUGUCAUCGUAAAAGAGUCGGAUUGAAAAUAACAAUGACAGUCUUAAAUUGCCGACAUAUGGUAGAUGGAAUACUCAUAGCAAAUGAGUUAGUAAAUGAGGUUCAAAGUGGAUUUAAAAAAAGUAUAUGACUUUCUGGACUGGAAAUACUUGAAUUUUGACAGGAUUUAACGUUAAAUGGAGAUGCUGGAUUUCAGAGUGUCUUUGAUCAUCAACUAUUUUAGCGUUGGUCAAUGGAAGUCUCACAAAAAAUUCCGAAGAUGGUAAAGGUCUAUCGCCUUUUUAUAUUUUUGUGUGUUUAGUUCCAUAGAGGUGAUGUUCACUUCUCGCAUAUGCAGUAUGCAAAUGAUACCUUAAUUGUGGGAAAAAGUUGGCAACACAUGAGGGCCAUGAUGGCAAAUUUACAGUUAUUUGAGUUAAUAUCUGGUCUUUAAAUAAACUUUCAUAAAAGUCUUUUAGUUUGAGUCAGAUGAAUCAGUGAAUCAAAUUUUAAGGUUGGAAAUACUUGAAUGUUUCUAUGGUUGUAAUCAUAGAAGAAAGAAGUUAUUUAAAUUGGAGAUUAAUAUAGUGUCAGGAAGAUUGUCCAAGUGGAAUAAUUAGUGCUUAUCUACAUGUGGCCGAAUCAUCCUUCUAAACAUUGUUAUACGCAUUACCGGUAAAUUUCAUUUCUUUCUUUAAAGCUCAGAUGUUAUUUCUAAUUUGAUUCUCUCUUUAAAAAUUUCUUGUGGGUUGGAAGAUUGGAAAGCAUAAAAAUAAGUCGGGUUCAUUGGAAAAAGGUAUGCUAGGGAAGAGAGGAGGGGGGAUCUAGGUAUACAAAAUUCAAGGGUGUUCAACCUAACUCUAUUAGGAAAGUGUGUGGGUUAAGAUUUUAAGAAGUAAAUAUGGUGAAAUCUUUGGUAAAUUGAGAGAAUGGGGUCAGCUUGGUGGCAGGACAUAAAAAUUUUAGAAAGUGGGUCGUGGGACUUUAAAUUACAUUGGUUCUUUGAAAGGUUGUGCAUGAAAUUAGGAAGAGGAGUUGAAUCACAUUUUUGGACUCCUUGGAUAAAAGGAAUAAUCUUGAAAAAUAGGUAAGUGGUACUGUUUGAUUUAUAAUCGAGAACAAAAAGGCUUCAUUUAAGGCAUUGGUGAUACAUUUGACUAGAAUUAUUCAUUUCAUUUGACUGGUUUUCUUCUAAAAUCAUGUGGCAAUUGUAUUUUAAGGUGACAUGAGAUUAUAGUUGUCUAAUGUUGUAGAGUUGACAAGUGAUAAUACAUAGAGGGAAAAGAAAAGCGAUAUGAUGAUAUAAAUUCAUUUGUCUGUCAAUCCUGUCAAUCCACUGAUAUUCUUUGAUGUAAUUCAUGAAUCCCGACAGGUUCUGAUCGCUUUCAUAUUUCCCUCUUGUGCUUGAUUUGUUUAUUUCUUGAGUUUCUCAAUUUUGCGAUGUAACUUUAUCAAUUAUUUUUGGUUUUUGAAUUGUUAUCAGAAUUCUGCAGCACUGAUAGAUUUCAUGUUAAUUUGCAAAAGAUUCACAUGGUCCAAAUUAGAUGUGGCUCAACAAUGAGUUGUAUUGGCAGAUUCAUAUUUUCAAAGGGAUGGUUAGUCAAAUGCCCAGAAUGUUUUCAAUGGUAUUUGGAUAAAACUAGUCACUGUCCAAUUCUAAUUCUCGAGAAAAGGAGGAAUUGUGCACCAAAACCUUUAUGUGUACUCAAAUGUUGGAGUGAGUUGAAGUUCAGGGAUGGCAGUAAUCAUAUUGAAAGAAAAACUCAAGUGACUUGGAAAAAAGGUGAAAGUACAUCAUUUUCUCAAGAGGAGAUCAAAGCCAAAAGAGUAGCAUCAACACAACUACUUGAAAUGUUGAAUCUGAAUUGUGGCAUAUUGUGACAAAAAUCACGCUCAAAAUAGCUUAGAAAAGGGGAUGCAAAUUCAAAGUUCUUUCUCGGGUGCCUGGUAAAUAGAAGAAAAGUUAAUAAGAUUAAUUCGAUUAAAUAGAUUGGGGUUCAAGAGAUAAAGGGUGAAGUUUUCAAUUAUUUCCCAAGUUUAUUCAGAAAGCAAAAGAGGGAAAGACUGGUUAUGCAUAAUUUUGAACUUAAACACAUUAGAGAUGAUAAGCUUAGAGAGGAGGAAAUAAGAAAUAAUGUUUGGAAUUGGGAGAGUUCAAACAGCCCCGACUCAUAUAGCAUAAAUUUUGGGUUUAUUAAGGAGUUUUAAGAUGUAACUAAAGCGGACUUUCAUAGUCUCAUUGUUGAAUCUCAUUCGAUUGGUAAAAUAGUGCAUGGAGCUAAAUAAUGGUUUUUAGCAUUAAUUACCAAGAUUAAGAAUUUGGUUAAACUAGAAGGUUUUACGUCGAUAUCUUUAAUUGGCAGAAUGUAGAAAGUCUUAGCAAAGCUAUUGACAAAUAAAUUGAUGGUGGCGGCUAAAUUUGUUUAUCUCUAAUUUGCAAUUCGUGUUCUUAGAAGGCUGGAAAAUCGUAGAUGGAAUAUUCUUAGCAAAUUAGUUAGUAGAUGAUUCAAAUAGGAGGAAGAAGCGUUGAUGUUUAAAGUUGAUUUGGACUGAAAAUAUUUGGACCGUGUGAUGGAAAAAAAAGGGAUUCAACGUUAAAUGGAGAGGUUUGAUUUCAGAGUGUCUUGGAACUUCAACUAUUUUAGUGUUGGUAGAUGGAAGCCUCAUAAAUGGCAAGACAAUCAGAUGAAUCUCUUGGAGGAUUAGCAGUUCAGUAGAAGAGAUGUUCACGUCUCGCAUAUGCAGUACGCAAAUAAUACUUUGAUUUUGCGGGGAAAAGUUGGCAAAACAUGAGGGCCAAGGCAAAUCUACAAUUAUUUAAGUUAAUAUAUGAUCUGAAAAUAAACUUUCAUAAAAGUAUUUAGUUGGAGUCAAUUCCACAAUAUUGGUAAGACGGAGCAGCAAAAGUAUUCAAUAAAACUACUUUCAAAUACUUGGGCAUUUCUACAUCAGUUAUUUUCAGAUAGAAGCAAUACCGAGAAGGUUGUCCAAGUGGAAUUACCGAUGCUUAUUUAUUGAUGGUUGAUUCAUCCUUCUGAAAUCUGUCUUGUAUGCCUUAAUUGUUUAUUUCCUUUCUUUCUUUGAAGCCCUGUGAGGGGGAAGGAGAAUGACGGUGUAUAAGUGCAAGGUGGACAGCUAGCUAUGAAAGAAGCGUGUCUGGUGGCAACAAUGGGUUGGAGAAUCAUGAUUUGGAAUAAGAAUAAGAAGUGCAUAAAAGAGGGAAGGAGGAAUGUGUGAUGCAGGAAAUUCGUGAGGUUCGUGAGGUUGUUCUCACAUCAGUAGCAUUGUUUUUGGUUACAUUUCGUCCAAGGAGAAUUACCUCCACCCAUUGAUCUGUUCCUCUUUCAAUAUACUGUUAUGGUUAAUUAGCACAACAGAAUUCAAUACAAUCGCCCCUUUUCUAGCAAGAGCAGUCACAUGUGAACAGAAGCUCUCCUUUGGUUACAAGUCUGCUACUGGCCUUAACUGAUUGAAGACCUUAAACUUCAGGAAUGCAAUCAAUGAGAUGGACUAAUUCCUCCAAAUUCCUGAUGUAGAUGUCCAAAUACUUGUGGAAGCUGUGAGUAUAUUUUCAUUUUCUGGGAUUGCAAUGCCGAGAAGGUUGUCCAAGUGGAAUAACCGAUUAGACAUGAGUUUGGAAAAUUGUGAUUGAAGCAAUGCCGAGAAGGUUGUCCAAGUGGAAUAACCGAUGCUUAUUUAUUGAUGGUCGAUUCAUCCUUCUGAAAUCUGUCUUGUACGCAUUAGUUGUUUAUUCCUCUUUUUUUCUUUGAAGCCCUGUGAGGUAUUAUUUCUAAUCUUAGUCUCUCUUUAAAAUUUUCUUAUGAGGUGAAGGAUUGGAAGGCAAAAAAAUAAGUUAGUUCAUUGGGAAAAGGUGUGCUAGGAAAGAGAGGAUGGCGGUCUAGGUAUAAAAAUUUAAGGGCGUUCAACCUAGCACUGUUAAGAAAAUAGGAAUGGAAAUUACCUAAGGUGACAUGGUUCAUUGGUUUUAUGUAAAAUUAAAAGUUGCAAAGUUGUAUUUUUAUGUGGCAAUUGUAUUUUAAGGUGACAUGAGAUUAUAAUUGUCUAAUGUUGUAAAAUUGACAAGUGAUAGGUACAUAUGUGAUAAUGAGUGAGAAUUAAAAGUUGGGAUAUAAGAUGAUGUAUUGGUGAAUUGCGAAUAGACGUGUGUUUGUGUGACAGUGAUCUCUUGUGAGUUGCUGUGUAAUGUCACUGCCGAGAAGAAAACUAUAAUCCUUAGAGUGUAAUUUCAAUGUGUUAAGAGAUAAUCAAUAGUGCUAAUAUGAAGAAAAUUAUAAGAUAGUAGAGUUACUAUCUAAUUAUUUAGCAUAGUAACUGUUCAUUGAUGUUUAUUUUGGCAAUUACCUAUAUUGUAAGAAAUUUGUUUACUUAAAUGUACUUAUACAAGCCUCCUAUUUCAUUUGGUUUAGUUAACGAUAAAUCUCGUGUUUUGACCGUUAGUUUGAGAUCCAUUCAGGGUCGGCUCCCCAUAUGCUUGAAUAAAAGCAGGGGCUAUAUUGAAUCUAUCAUUCUAUUGUCAUUGUAUUUUGCAGUCCUCUUCCAGAUCCAGAUAGAGAUUCGAGAACAUUGCCACCAGUUCGAUGAAACUCGCAAGUGCAGUAUAGCUCGAGAAAUGAGAUAUAUGUCGCGACUGGUUCAAACAAGAUGAUGCAACUCAGAAGCUCGACAUAGGGUGUGACUAUAAAUUGUAAGGACUCACGAUCUCCAAUACUCGGCAACAUUGACCGUUACUGACAAUCUCCAAUACCCGACAACAUUGACCGAUCCCACAGACAAGCUUUUUUACAUAUACUAUGUGGUGAUGCAGUAUGGUUUUUGCCGGAUGUACUGUCUGACUUGAGAUAUUGGUAGGAUGAAUGCUAAAUGUGAUUAUUUUUGUUGUUUGUAAUGGAUUUUGAUUUUGCCAUGGUUACCUGCACAUGUGAAUAAUGGUAGAGAAGAUGGAUAUUAAAUGAAUUUGGUUCACUUAUUGAGUAUGUUCAAACAGCUUUUGGGAGAAAUCUCCGUCACAGUUUCACUUAUCUGGCGUAGAAUUUGCAUCGUAUAAUUUAGUCGGUUUGCGAAUUGGAUCGAGUAAUGUGCAGUUGCAUAGAGCUGCUGUGAACGUCUUGCGUCACUCGAAGCUCCCAAAUCGGGAUGAAAUCGGCUCACAAUGAAAAUCAUAGUGCCAAUGUGAUGCCGAUGUCGACAAUAGAGUUUGUUAGGGCAGAUCUGCGAGUGGAGGUGAGACAUGAAUCACCAUGUUAAUACUGCUGAUACCACCAUUUGGAAGAGUUAUAUUUGGAAGAUUGUGAAAAUUGUUGGGACAAAUUAACACUGCUAUGAUUCGAAAAGAAAUUGAAGAUGACACUAACAGGAUGGCUGGGAAAUCAAAUCAAAUAUCUCCUACCGCCAUUUGGAAGAUAAGUAUUUCUCACACAUUCUAUUCACCUAGUAUGAUUAACUAUUGUUUGUCUACAACGCUUUGUUUGGUGAUCUAAUGUCAUAUAACUCAACUUACAAUGUGUAUGUGUUAUAUAUAUGUUGUGGUGUCUAUUUCAUUUGUAUUUUUUGUCUCUUUAGACUGCUGAUGAGUAUGAUCGCAGGAGAGAGAACUUUUUCAAUGAGCUUGAAAUCGUGUUCUCCGAUGUGGUCAUGGCUAUACUCGCAGAUUUCAUACUCGUUUAUCUUCCUGCACCUACUGUUUCUCUUAGACCACCACUUGGAGUUAGUGCAGGGGCAAUUUCUAAGUUUUCCCACAAUUGCCCAGAUAAUGCAUUCCAGGUUGCUCUCUCUGGAACAUCAUAUUCCUUGUUGCAGAGAUUUGGUGCAAUUGUGCGUAAUGGGUCCAAGCUUUUUGCAGUUGGAACUGGCGCAUCACUGGUUAGUUCUCAUUAUACUUGGGGUUUAAGUUUGGAAAUUUGUGAUUAAAGCAAUACCGUGAAGAUUGUCCAAGUGGAAUAACCGAUGCUUAUCUCUUGAUGGUCGAUUCAUCAUUCUAAAAUCUGUCUUGUACGCAUUAACUGUUUAUUUCCUUUCUUUCUUCGAAGCUCUGUGAGGUAUUAUUUCUAAUCUUGAGUCUCUCUUUAAAAUUUUCUUAGGAGGUGAAGGAUUGGAAAGCAGAAAAAUAAGUUAGUUCAUUGGGAAAAGGUGUGCUGGGAAAGAGAGGAUGGGGUCUAGGUAUAAAAAUAUAAGGGCGUUCAACUAGCACUGUUAAGAAAAUAGGAAUGGAGAUUACCUAAGGUGACACGGUUCAUUGGUUUUAUUUUAUGUAAAAUUAAAAGUUGCAAAGUUGUACUUUUAUGUGGCAAUUGUAUUUUAAGGUGACAUGCGAUUAUAGUUGUCUAAUGUUGCAAAGUUGACAAGUGAUAGGUACAUAUGUGAUAAUGAGUGAGAAUUAAAAGUUGGGAUAUAAGAUGAUGUAUUGGUGAAUUGAGAAUAGGUAUGUGUUUGUGGGACAAUGAUCUCUUGAGUUGCUGUGUAAUUUCACUGCUGAGAAGAAAACUAUAAUCCUAAGAGUGUAAUUUGAAUAUGUUAAGAGAAAAUCAAUAGUGCUAAUAUGAAGAAAAUUAUAAGAUAGUAGAGUUACUAUCUAAGUAUUUAGCAUAAGAACUGUUCCUUGAUGUUUAUUUUGGCAAUUGCCUAUAUUGUAAGAAAUUUGCUUACUUAAAUGUACUUAUACAAGCCUCCUAUUUCAUUUGGUUUAGUUCACGAUAAAUCUCGUGUUUUGACCGUUAGUUUGACAUCCAUUCAGGGUCGGCUCCCCAUAUGCUUGAAGACAAGUAGGGGAUAUAUUGAAUCUAUUGUCAUUGUAUUUUGCCAGUCCUCUUCCAGAUCCAAAUAGAGAUUGGAGAACAUUGCCACUAGUUCGAUGAAACUUGCAAGUGCAGUAUAGCUCGAGAAAUGAGAUACAUGUCGCGACUGGUUCAAACAAGAUGAUGCAAAUCAGAAGCUCGACACAGGAUGUGACUAUAAAUCGGCUCACAAUCUCCAAUACCCGACAACAUUGACCGAUCCCAGACAAGCUUUUUUACAUAUACUAUGUGGUGAUGCAGUAAUGUUUUUGCCGAUUAAACAUUUGCGAGCUAAUAAUUACAGAACAUAUAAUAAAUAUUCAUGUACUCUGACCCGAGUUAUUGGUAGGAUGAAUGCAAAAUGUGAUUAUUUUUAUUGUUUGUAAUUGAUUUUGGUUUUGUGAUGGAUAUUAAUGGUAGAGAAGAUGGAUAUUAAAUGAAUUUGGUUCACUUAUUGAGUAUGUUGAAACAACUUUUGGGAGAAAUAUCCGUCAAAGUUUCACUUAUCUUGCAUAGAACUUGAAUCGUAUAAUUUAGUCGGUUUGCGAAUUAUUAUUGAGUAGUGUUCCUGAACAGAGGGGGUCUGAUUAUUAUAGAUGAAUUGGAUCGACAAAAUUCUGUGUUUGUAGAAUGUGCAGUUGCAUAGAGCUGUUGUGAACGUUUUGCGUCACUCAAAGCUCCCAGAUCGAGAUGAAAUCGGCUCAUAAUGAGAGCCGUAGUGCCAAUGUGAUGCAGAUGUCGACGAUAAAGUUUGUUAGGGCAUAUAUGUGAGUGGAGGUGAGAUAUGAAUCACCAUGUUAAUACUGCUGAUACCGCCAUUUGGAAGAUAAGUAUUUCUCACACAUUCUAUUGACCGAGUAUGAUUAACUAUUGUUUGUUUACAAGGCUUUGUUUGGUGAUCUAAUGUCAUAUAACUCAACUUACAAUGUGUAUGUGUUAUCUAUAUGUUGUGGUGUCGAUUUCUGUAUGUCUUGCAAUGCAUUUUGAUUUUAGAGUUACAUUUGGAAGAUUGUGAAAAUUGUUGGGACAAAUUACCACGGCUAUGAUUCAAAAAGAAAUUGAAGAUAACACUAACAGAUGGCUGGGAAAUCAAAUCAAAUAUCUCCUAACUCUAUUCAUCUCAGCAUCUACCUGCCAAGUGUUGUCAAUUUGAUGCCAGUAGAUCUGCCUGUUUUAGCAAAGGUCGCAGUAGAGUGACAACCAGAAGGUAGUGACAUCUAAUGCUAUCAAAAUUCUUAAACAAAUUGAUCCUGCUGGUGAAAGAACAGUUGGUGUAACAUGAAUAGGCUAUUAUAUGUUGCAGGUUGUUUAUAUCACGAUAGUGGGUGAACUGAUACGCUAUUUGUAUGACGUGGCUAUGAUGUUUGAUUACUACUUUUAAAUGUUUACAGUGAGUAUCCGUGAUGACAACGACUACAAAUCGAGUCUCAUAGGAGGAGAACUAAAGAUUGCAAUGAUCGGAGAUGACAAGUCAAGCUCUAAUGUCAUCGUAAAAGAGUCGGAUUGAAAAUAACAAUGACAGGGUCGGCUCACCAUAUGCUUGAAGACAAGUAGGGGAUAUAUUGAAUCUAUUUUCAUUGUAUUUUGCCAGUCCUCUUCCAGAUCCAAAUAGAGAUUGGAGAACAUUGCCACCAGUUCGAUGAAACUCGCAAGUGCAGUUUAGCUCGAGAAAUGAGAUACAUGUCGCGACUUGUUCAAACAAGAUGAUGCAAAUCAGAAGCUCGACACAUGAUGUGACUAUAAAUUGUAAGGACUCACAAUCUCCAAUACUCGGCAACAUUGACCGUUACUGACAAUCUCCAAUACCCGACAACAUUGACCGAUCCCACAGACAAGCUUUUUUACAUAUACUAUGUGGUGAUGCAGUAUGGUUUUUGCCGGUUAAACAUUUACGAGCUAAUAAUUACAGAACAUAUAAUAAAUAUUCAUGUACUGUCUGACCUGAGAUAUUGGUAGGAUGAAUGCUAAAUGUGAUUAUUUUUGUUGUUUGUAAUGGAUUUUGAUUUUGCCAUGGUUACCUGCACAUGUGAAUAAUGGUAGAGAAGAUGGAUAUUAAAUGAAUUUGGUUCACUUAUUGAGUAUGUUCAAACAGCUUUUGGGAGAAAUCUCCGUCACAGUUUCACUUAUCUGGCGUAGAAUUUGCAUUGUAUAAUUUAGUCGGUUUGCGAAUUGGAUCGAGUAAUUUGCAGUUGCAUAGAGCUGCUGUGAACGUCUUGCGUCACUCGAAGCUCCCAGAUCGGGAUGAAAUCGUCUCACAAUGAAAAUCAUAGUGCCAAUGUGAUGCCGAUGUCGACAAUAGAGUUUGUUAGGGCAGAUCUGCGAGAGGAGGUGAGACAUGAAUCACCAUGUUAAUACUGCUGAUACCACCAUUUGGAAGAUAAGUAUUUCUCACACAUUCUAUUCACCUAGUAUGAUUAACUAUUGUUUGUUUACAACGCUUUGUUUGGUGAUCUAAUGUCAUAUAACCCAACUUACAAUGUGUAUGUGUUAUUUAUAUGUUGUGGUGUCUAUUUCUGUAUGUCUUACAAUGCAUUUUGAUUUUAGAGUUAUAUUUGGAAGAUUGUGAAAAUUGUUGGGACAAAUUAACACUGCUAUGAUUCGAAAAGAAAUUGAAGAUGACACUAACAGGAUGGCUGGGAAAUCAAAUCAAAUAUCUCCUACCGCCAUUUGGAAGAUAAGUAUUUCUCACACAUUCUAUUCACCUAGUAUGAUUAACUAUUGUUUGUUUACAACGCUUUGUUUGGUGAUCUAAUGUCAUAUAACUCAACUUACAAUGUGUAUGUGUUAUCUAUAUGUUGUGGUGUCUGUUUCUGUAUGUCUUACAAUGCUUUUUGAUUUUAGAGUUAUAUUUGGAAGAUUGUGAAAAUUGUUGGGACAAAUUAACACUGCUAUGAUUCGAAAAGAAAUUGAAGAUGACACUAAAAGGAUGGCUGGGAAAUCAAAUCAAAUAUCUCCUGCCGCCAUUUGGAAGAUAAGUAUUUCUCACACAUUCUAUUCACCUAGUAUGAUUAACUAUUGUUUGUUUACAACACUUUGUUUGGUGAUCUAAUGUCAUAUAACUCAACUUACAAUGUGUAUGUGUUAUAUAUAUAUGUUGUGGUGUCUAUUUCAUUUGUAUUUUUUGUCUCUUUAGACUGCUGAUGAGUAUGAUCGCAGGAGAGAGAACUUUUUCAAUGAGCUUGAAAUCGUGUUCUCCGAUGUGGUCAUGGCUAUACUCGCAGAUUUCAUGCUCGUUUAUCUUCCUGCACCUACUGUUUCUCUUAGACCACCACUUGGAGUUAAUGCAGGGGCUAUUUCUAAGUUUUUCCACAAUUGCCCAGAUAAUGCAUUCCAGGUUGCUCUCUCUGGAACAUCAUAUUCCUUGUUGCAGAGAUUUGGUGCAAUUGUGCAUAAUGGGUCCAAGCUUUUUGCAGUUGGAACUGGCGCAUCACUGGUUAGUUCUCAUUAUACUUGGGGUUUAAGUUUGGAAAUUUGUGAUUGAAGCAAUGCCGAGAAGAUUGUCCAAGUGGAAUAACCGAUGCUUAUCUAUUGAUGGUCGAUUCAUCAUUCUAAAAUCUGUCUUGAUUGGAAAAAGGUGUGCUGUUGUGAACGUUUUGCGUCACUCAAAGCUCCCAGAUCGAGAUGAAAUCGACUCAUAAUGAAAGCCGUAGUGCCAAUGUGAUGCAGAUGUCGACGAUAAAGUUUGUUAGGGCAUAUAUGUGAGUGGAGGUGAGAUAUGAAUCACCAUGUUAAUACUACUGGUACCGCCAUUUGGAAGAUAAGUAUUUCUCACACAUUCUAUUGAUCGAGCAUGAUUAACUAUUGUUUGUUUACAAGGCUUUGUUUGGUGAUCUAAUGUCAUAUAACUCAACUUACAAUGUGUAUGUGUUAUCUAUAUGUUGUGGUGUCUAUUUCUGUAUGUCUUACAAUGCAUUUUGAUUUUAGAGUUAUAUUUGGAAGAUUGUGAAAAUUGUUGGGACAAAUUAACACUGCUAUGAUUUGAAAAGAAAUUGAAGAUGACACUAACAGGAUGGCUGGGAAAUCAAAUCAAAUAUCUCCUACCGCCAUUUGGAAGAUAAGUAUUUCUCACACAUUCUAUUGAUCGAGUAUGAUUAACUAUUGUUUGUUUACAAGGCUUUGUUUGGUGAUCUAAUGUCAUAUAACUCAACUUACAAUGUGUAUGUGUUAUCUAUAUGUUGUGGUGUCUAUUUCUGUAUGUCUUACAAUGCAUUUUGAUUUUAGAGUUACAUUUGGAAGAUUGUGAAAAUUGUUGGGACAAAUUACCAUGGCUAUGAUUCGAAAAGAAAUUGAAGAUGACACUAACAGAUGGCUGGGAAAUCAAAUCAAAUAUCUCCUGUCUCUAUUCAUCUCAGCAUCUACCUGCCAAGUGUUGUCAAUUUGAUGCCGGUAGAUCUGCAUGUUUUAGCAAAGGUCGCAGUAGAGGGACAACCAGAAGUGAGUAUUCGUGAUGACAACGACUACAUAUCGAGUCUCAUAGGAGGAGAACUAAAGAUUGCAAUGAUCGGAGAUGACAAGUCAAGCUCUAAUGUCAUCGUAAAAGAGUCGGAUUGAAAAUAACAAUGACAGAGUUGGCAAGUGAUAAUACAUAGAGCGAAAAGAAAAGCAAUAUGAUGAUAGAAAUUCAUUGUCUGUCAAUCCACUGAUAUUCUUAGAUGUAAUUCAUGAAUCCCGACAGUCCUCUUCCAAAUCCAGAUAGAGAUUCGAGAACAUUGCGACUAGUUCGAUGAAACUCGCAAGUGCAGUAUAGCUCGAGAAAUGAGAUACAUGUCGCGACUGGUUCAAACAAGAUGAUGCAACACAGAAGCUCGACACAGGAUGUGACUAUAAAUCGGAAGGACUCACAAUCUCCAAUACCCGGAUGGCUAGGAAAUCAAAUCAAAUAUCUCCUGUCUCUAUUCAUCUCAGCAUCUACCUGCCAAGUGUUGUCAAUUUUAUGCCGGUAGAUCUACCUAUUUUAGCAAAGGUCGCAGUAGAGGGACAACCAGAAGUAAGCAUCCGUGAUGACAACGACUACAUAUCGAGUCUCAUAGGAGGAGAAAUAAAGAUUACAAUGAUCGGAGAUGACAAGUGAAACUCUAAUGUCAUCGUAAAAGAGUCGGAUUGAAAAAAACAAUGACAGGUCAGCGUUUCUUUUGCUUCUGCUUCUCGAAUAUGAAUAGAAGUGUGUCAUCCUAUGUUCCAAUUACAAUAGCUUCAGAUGAUGGAGUAUCGAGGUGACUUGGAAUUGGCUAAAGUAUAAAGCUCUUAGAUUUAAUUACCCUAUUGUUAAUUAGAUAUUAAAUCCAUUUGGUUGCUUACAAACUUACAAUGUUGAUGGGGUAUUGAGAUCAAUUCUAAAAUAUUACUGAUCGUCAAUACGUCUGUUUGGUCGUAGUUAGUGUUUGAAUUAUUAAGUAAUUCUCAUAUUUAUUCGUGUGGUUUGUUAGAAUGCUACUUGGUGUUGGUUUUUCCAUCAACCUUGGUUGGUCGAGCUUAUUCGGGACAUGACCUGCUAACUAUUUUUUUGGAUAAUCUUUGGAAGGAGCAUUUUUAUCUUUGCUGUAGUGCAUUAUAGCCUUUUUUUCUUUGGCUCAUGUUCUGUUUUUCUGUUUGGGGAAUAAGAGGCGUGUAGGGGUGGACAAGUUGUAACUCAUAUUUUGUUUUUCUUUUGGGAGCAGUAUCUCAUGCAUGAGAUUUGUAUUCUGGCAUAUCUUAUGCCUUACACCUUUUCUUUAAUUUAAUGUUACCGCCUUUUCAAAAAAAAUAUUGAUAUCCAAUCAAUAUCCACCCAAAAUAUUGGUGUGAAACGCAUUAUGAAGUUUUCAAAUAUUUCUUAAGUCUAUCUAGAGACAAAAAGAGGGAAAGACCAGAAUUUUGAAUUUAAAGGCAUUAGAGAUGAAGAAAAUGAUGUUCUCAUAGCUGAACUUAGAGACGAGGAAAUAAGAAAUGUUUGGGAUUCUGAGAGUUUGAAGUUCCUUGAUUCAUAGCAUAGAUUUCAGUUUUAUUAAUGAGCUUUUGGAUGUAAUCAAAACAGACUUUCAUAUUCAUUGUUGAAUUUAAUUCAAAUGGUGUAACAGUGCGUGGAGCUAUUAAUGCUUUUUAGUAUUGAAUCCAAAGAUAAAGAAUCUAGUGAAGCUAAGCCAAUAUCUUUAAUUGACAGCAUCUAGAAAGUGAAGCUAGGCCAAUAACUUUAAUUGGCAGCAUCUAGAAAAUCUUAGUAAUGUUAUAUGCAAAUAGAUUGAAGGUGGAGGAUAUAAAAACUAUCUCUGAUUCGUAAAUCGCCAAAUACCAAAUAGGAGGAAAAAAGAACUGUGAUCCCUGAUUCGCAAUUCGCCGUAGGCCAAAUAGGAGGAAAAAAAGAUGUUAAAAGUAGAAUUUGAAAAAGCAUAUGAAUUUGUCGACUAAAAAUAGUCCCAAAAGUCUAUGAUAUUUAUUUGUGUUUUGUUUUCUGUUUUUUAUCCAUCUAAUCUAAUCUAAGUUGGCCGUAUCAUUAAAUUUAUCAUUGUACCAGAAUGAAUUUGUCAUAGCUGGAUCACUUGAUUUGCGAUAGAAUUAUAUUAUAUUAAUAUUAUUGUUCCUUCAUUGGGAUUAAAUCCAUUGGUUGUGCAAGAUAUUGUGUUCUAGUUUUAAUCAUUUGCUUAUUACUUGAAGUCACGGACAACGUUGGAUCUAGUUCUAGGAUUGGUUUUUUAAAAUCUUUUUGGUUAUUUUAAGGGGCUCUGUUAAUUUGAUAAAAUAUUAAGUGGCUGGCCAAAGUAAAAUGAGACUUAUAAGACUAAUCAAGGCGAUCAUGGUUUUGAUUAAUUGGUUUGGAUUAAUCACUGUUGGAAAAAUGUUGCUAUGGAGUAAAUUGAUGGAGUUGAUCAAAUAAAAAACAGGUCAGGUGCUAGAUGUUGCGUGAUAGAAGAUUUUAACAGUUCUUUCACACGUGCCUCUUAAAUAGAAGAAAAUUGAUGAGAUUAAUUGUAUAGAAGAAAAAUUGAUGAGAUUAAUUGUAUAGAAGUAGAUGGAACAAAAUAGAUAGGGGUUCAUGAGAUAAAGGAUGAAGUUUUUUAUUAUUUCUCAGGUCUAUUUAGAUAGCAAAAGAGGAAAAGAUUGGUUAUGCAGAAUUUUGAAUUUAAACACAUUUGAGAUGAAGAUAAUCAUUUUCUCAUAGAUGAAUUUCGUGAAGGAAUUAAAGUAGACUUUCAUUUGAAUGGCAAAAUAGUGCAUGAAGCUAAUCAUUUUUUUUAGCAUUGAUUCCAAAGAUAAAAAAUUUGGUGAAGCUGGACUGUUUUAGGCCGACAUCUUUAAUUGGUAGCAUGUAGAAAGUUUUAAUAAAGCUAUUGGCAAAUAGAUUGGAGAUGGUGGCUAAAGUUUUCUUUGAUUUGCAAAAUUAUCUUUGAUUUGCAAUUCUAAUAGAUGGUAGGUGGAAUACUCGUAGCAAAUGAGUUAGUAGAUGAUGCAAAUAGGAGGAAAAAAGAAGUGUUGAUGUGUAAAGUGGAUUUUAAAAAAGUGUAUGAUUUUGUGGAUUGGAAAUAUUUGAGAACUUAAUGAUGGAAAAGAAAAAGGGAUUCAACGAUAAAUGGAAAGGCCAGAUUUUAGAGUGUCGUCAAACUUCAACUAUUUCAGUGUUGGUCAUCAGAAGCCUCGCAAAAGAAUUUGAAGUUAGUAGAGAACUAAGGCAAGUUGAUCCUCUACUGCCUUUCCUAUUUUUGAAAGCAGCUGAAGGUUUUAACUUCCUAAUGUCAAAAGGAGUAACUUCCUAUACAUAAGACGAAGUAGUAAAUGUGUUAGAUUGUAAGGUUUGAACUACAACAUUCAAAUAUUUGGACAUUCCUAUGGGUGGUUAGGGUGGUAAUCAUAGAUGAAAGGAGUUAUGAAAACUGGUGAUUGAUGCAAUAUCGAGAAGACUGUCCAAGUGGAAUAAAUGCCGCUUAUCUAUUGGUGGUAGAAUAGUGUGUAGUGCUAAUAAUUCUUUUUUAGCAAUGGUUCCAAAGAUUGAGAAUUCUGUGACGCUAAACUAUUCUACUGGUAAAAUAGUGUGUAGAGCAAAUAAUGCUUUUUUAGCAUUGAUUCCAAAGAUUGAGGAUUCGGUGACGCUAAACUAUUCUAAUGGGAAAAUAGUGUGUAGAGCUAAUAAUGCAUUUUUAUCAUUGAUUCCGAAGAUUGAGAAUUUGGUGACACUAAACUAUUCUAAUGGAAAAAUAGUGUGUAGUGCUAAUAAUUCUUUUUUCGAAAUGGUUCCAAAGGUUGAGAAUUCUGUGACGCUAAACUAUUCUAAUGGCAAAAUAGCGUGUAGAGCUAAUAAUGCGUUUUUAAUAUUGAUUCCAAAGAUUGAGAGUUCGGUGAAGCGAAACUAUUCUAAUGGCAAAAUACUGUGUAGAGCUAAUGGCAAAAAUUUCUAAUUUGUUUAUCUAUAUGUGGCAUUUGUAUUUUAAGAUGACAUGAGAUUAUAGUUGUCUAGUGUUGCAGAGUUGACAAGUGAUAAUACAUAGAGGGAAAAGAAAAGCUAUAUGAUGAUAAAAAAUUAAUUGUUCUUCCAUGUAACUAUAGUAAUUUGAAUUGGUAAAGUUUUUAACUUUAUCCUUAAAGUUUAGUAUUUUUUUAUUUAACUUAAUUGGUUUCUGUUUCUGGGGUAUUCUUCUGGUGGGAGCUGGUUUUUAUGGUAGAAGUACUUGUAAUUGGGGUCCAUAUGUCUCUAUUAUUAGGUUGUUAUCUUUGAUAGUUAAAAGGGUACUUGUGUUUUUAUUUAAUGUAAGGUUCUCUAUAGAUAAAGGCCUACUUAUUUUUGUUGCUUCUGAUGUUGCAACUGACCCAAUCUAACCCAAAUUGCAGCUUGGUUGAAAACAUCUUUGACCCUUGAAUGUUGAAUUUCUUACAUAGUUAUUACGUAACAGCAUAUGGUUAUCUAUUAUUCUUAGUGAGCAAAGUUAUAAAUAUUAAACAAUUUGUUUCUAGAUAGAUGUAUGAACAUUUUGGCCUAGGAACCAUUCAUUACAAUUCAGGAGUCCUCACUCUGAAAGCUACAUUUUACUAUGAUCAAGUGUAUGUCCGGUUUCAUGUUUCGAGCACUCAAAAUUGAUUUUACAUAUGUAGAAUUGAUUUUGACAUGUUUAGUUAGUAGAUUGCAGUUUGAGGUUUGGGCAAUUUCAAUUUUUCAAUGAGUAACAAAUUGUCUGAAAAUACAUUUAUUUUCCAUCAAGGGACAUAGGUUUUCAUUGGUAUGACUCUAAAUUGACAGUUCAUAGUCAUAAUUAUGCAAAAGUGGAAUAUGAACCUUCAGUUUUGAACUGUUGGAGGAUGUGAUUCGUUGAGACUUGGUAGCUGCAUUAUGUAUAUUUGGAGUUGCCUAUAGAGUGAGCAAAAGAGAAUAAGCAUGGGUUCAUACGCACAUUGGCGUACAAGCACAAAUCGCCAAGUUCUAACCGCUUUCACAUUUCCCUCUUGCUUGAUUUCUUGAGUUUCUCGAUUUGUUGAUUAAAUUAUUUAUGGUUUUUGAAUAGUUAUCAGAAUUAGGCAAAUGAUGAAUCUGAAAUGGUGUAAAUGGGUAAUUCGCAUCUAAAUAUCGUUGAUGUUAAAAUCACCUUGGAUAACUGAUGCCCUAAAUUCUAUUGAUUUUUAUGUUUGUUAGCUUGUUUCUCUGUUUUGUUCUCUGUUUUUUUGGAUCCAUCUAAUCUAUAAUGAUCUUAGCAUUAAAAUUAUCAUCGUACUAGAAUGAAUUGUUCAUUGCUACAUGGUUGGAUCACUUGAUUUGUGAUUGAAUUAUAUUAUUAUAGCCCUUUUAUUGGCACUAAUGACCCUGUCAUAGUUGAAUUUAGAAAGGAGGUAAUAGAAAUGUUGGUUGUGAUUGCAAGAGAUCUAAGAAUCCUGACCCGAAUAACAUAAAUUUCAAGUUUAGUAAGUAGUUUAGGGAAAGCGUAUUUUCACAUAUUCAUUGCUGAAUUUCAAUUUCAUGUCAAAAUAGUGUGUGGAGCUAAUAGUGCUUUUUUAGCAUUGAUACCAAAGAUUGUGAAAUUGGUGACGCUAAACUAUUCUAAUGGCAAAAUCGUGUGUAGAGCUAAUAAUGCUUUUUUAGCAUUGAUUCCAAUGAUUGAGAAUUCGGUGACGCUAAACUAUUCUAAUGGGAAAAUAGUGUGUAGAGCUAAUAAUGCAUUUUUAGCAUUGAUUCCAAAGAUUGAGAAUUUGGUGACGCUAAACUAUUCUAAUGGCAAAAUAGUGUGUUGAGCUAAUAAUGCUUUUUAAGCAUUGAUUCCAAAGAUUGAGAACUCGGUGACGCAUAACUAUUCUAAUGGGAAAAUAGUGUGUAGAGCUAAGAAUGCGUUUUUAGCAUUGAUUCCAAAGAUUGAGAAUUCUGUGACGCUAAACUAUUCUACUGGCAAAAUAGUGUAGAGCUAAUAAUGCUUUUUUAGCAUUGAUUCCAAAGAUUGAGAAUUCGGUGACGCUAAACUAUUCUAAUGGCAAAAUUGUGUGUAGAGCAAAUAAUGCUUUUUUAGCAUUGAUUCCAAAGAUUGAGAAUUCGGUGACGCUAAACUAUUCUAAUGGGAAAAUAGUGUGUAGAGCUAAUAAUGCAUUUUUAGCAUUGAUUCCCAAGAUUGAGAAUUUGGUGACGUUAAACUAUUCUAAUGGAAAAAUAGUGUGUAGUGCUAAUAAUUCUUUUUUAGAAAUGGUUCCAAAGAUUGAGAAUUCUGUGACGCUAAACUAUUCUAAUGGCAAAAUAGCGUGUAGAGCUAAUAAUGCGUUUUUAAUAUUGAUUCCAAAGAUUGAGAGUUCGGUGAAGUGAAACUAUUCUAAUGGCAAAAUACUGUGUAGAGCUAAUGGCAAAAAUUUCUAAUUUGUUUAUCUAUAUGUGGCAUUUGUAUUUUAAGAUGACAUGAGAUUAUAGUUGUCUAAUGUUGCAAAGUUGACAAGUGAUAAUACAUAGAGGGAAAAGAAAAGCUAUAUGAUGAUAAAAAAAUUAAUUGUUCUUCCAUGUAACUAUAGUAAUUUGAAUUGGUAAAGUUUCCGACUUUAUCCUUAAAGUUUAGUAUUUUUUUAUUUAACUUAAUUGGUUUCUGUUUCUGGGGUAUUCUUCUGGUGGGAGCUAGUUUUUAUGGUAGAAGUACUUGUAAUUGGGGUCCAUAUGUCUCUAUUAUUAGGUUGUUAUCUUUGAUAGUUAAAAGGGUACUUGUGUUUUUAUUUAAUGUAAGGUUCUCUAUAGAUAAAGGCCUACUUAUUUUUGUUGCUUCUGAUGUUGCAACUGACCCAAUCUAACCCAAAUUGCAGGUUGGUUGAAAACAUCUUUGACCCUUGAAUGUUGAAUAUAUUAAAAAUUUUUGUUUCUAGAUAGAUGUAUGAACAUUUUGGCCUAGGAACCAUUCAUUACAGUUCAGGAGUCCUCACUCUGAAAGCUACAUUUUACUAUGAUCAAGUGUAUGUUCGGUUUCAUGUUUCGAGCACUCAAAAUUGAUUCUACAUAUGUAGAAUUGAUUUUGACAUGUUUAGUUAGUAGAUUGCAGUUUGAGGUUUGAGCAAAUUCAAUUUUUCAAUGAGUAAGAAAUUGUCUGAAAAUACAUUUAUUUUCCAUCAAGGGACAUAGGUUUUCAUUGGUAUGACUCUAAAUUGACAGUUCAUAGUCAUAAUUAUGCAAAAGUGGAAUAUGAACCUUGAGUUUUGAACUGUUGGAGGAUGUGAUUCGUUGAGACUUGGUAGCUGCAUUAUGUAUAUUUGGAGUUGCCUAUAGAGUGAGCAAAAGAGAAUAAGCAUGGGUUCAUACGCACAUUGGCGUACAAGCACUAAUCGCCAAGUUCUAAUCGCUUUCACAUUUCCCUCUUGCUUGAUUUCUUGAGUUUCUCGAUUUGUUGAUUAAAUUAUUUAUGGUUUUUGAAUAGUUAUCAGAAUUAGGCAAAUGAUGAAUCUGAAAUGGUGUAAAUGGGUAAUUCGCAUCUAAAUAUCGUUGAUGUUAAAAUCACCUUGGAUAACUGAUGCCCUAAAUUCUAUUGAUUUUUAUGUUUGUUAGCUUGUUUCUCUGUUUUGUUCUCUGUUUUUUUGGAUCCAUCUAAUCUAUAAUGAUCUUAGCAUUAAAAUUAUCAUCGUACCAAAAUAGUGUGUAGAGCUAAUAAUGCUUUUUUAA